rnacentral:snRNA from 1 species
AACCGAGGUGCGAUUAUUGCUAGUUGAAAACUUUUACCAAUACCCCGCCUGGGGGACUUGAAACACAGUCCGCCACGGCAAUUUUUGAAAGACCCCGCCCGGGG